GACGAACGCUGGCGGCGUGCCUAAUACAUGCAAGUAGAACGCACAGUUUAUACCGUAGCUUGCUACACCAUAGACUGUGAGUUGCGAACGGGUGAGUAACGCGUAGGUAACCUGCCUGGUAGCGGGGGAUAACUAUUGGAAACGAUAGCUAAUACCGCAUAAUAUUGAUUAUUGCAUGAUAAUUAAUUGAAAGGUGCAAUUGCACCACUACCAGAUGGACCUGCGUUGUAUUAGCUAGUAGGUGAGGUAACGGCUCACCUAGGCGACGAUACAUAGCCGACCUGAGAGGGUGAUCGGCCACACUGGACCGGAGACACGGCCAAGACUCCUCCGGAGGCAGCAGUAGGGAAUCUUCGGCAAUGGACGAAAGUCUGAACGAGCAACGCCGCGUGAGUGAAGAAGGUUUUCGGAUCGUAAAGCUCUGUUGUAAGAGAAGAAAGGGUGUGAGAGUGGAAAGUUCACACUGUGACGGUAUCUUACCAGAAAGGGACGGCUAACUACGUG
rnacentral:rRNA from 1 species